GCCCGAAUGGCUCAGUGGUAAAGCGUCUCACUAGUAACUGUUCUGCUCUAAUGACUUCAAUCUGAAGAGGAUUCAUGGUCCCGAAAUGAGAAGAUCGCCAGUUCGAUUCUGGCUUUGGGCA
rnacentral:tRNA from 1 species